CAGUCGAACGGGAAUCUUCGGAUUCUAGUGGCGGACGGGUGAGUAACGCGUAAGAAUCUAACUUCAGGACGGGGACAACAGUUGGAAACGACUGCUAAUACCCGAUAUGCCGCGAGGUGAAACCUAAUUGGCCUGAAGAAGAGCUUGCGUCUGAUUAGCUAGUUGGUGGGGUAAGAGCCUACCAAGGCGACGAUCAGUAGCUGGUCUGAGAGGAUGAGCAGCCACACUGGGACUGAGACACGGCCCAGACUCCUACGGGAGGCAGCAGUGGGGAAUUUUCCGCAAUGGGCGAAAGCCUGACGGAGCAACGCCGCGUGAGGGAGGAAGGUCUUUGGAUUGUAAACCUCUUUUCUCAAGGAAGAAGUUCUGACGGUACUUGAGGAAUCAGCCUCGGCUAACUCCGUGCCAGCAGCCGCGGUAAUACGGGGGAGGCAAGCGUUAUCCGGAAUUAUUGGGCGUAAAGCGUCCGCAGGUGGUCAGCCAAGUCUGCUGUCAAAUCAGGUUGCUUAACGACCUAAAGGCGGUGGAAACUGGCAGACUAGAGAGCAGUAGGGGUAGCAGGAAUUCCCAGUGUAGCGGUGAAAUGCGUAGAGAUUGGGAAGAACAUCGGUGGCGAAAGCGUGCUACUGGGCUGUAUCUGACACUCAGGGACGAAAGCUAGGGGAGCGAAAGGGAUUAGAUACCCCUGUAGUCCUAGCCGUAAACGAUGGAUACUAGGCGUGGCUUGUAUCGACCCGAGCCGUGCCGAAGCUAACGCGUUAAGUAUCCCGCCUGGGGGAGUACGCACGCAAGUGUGAAACUCAAAGGAAUUGACGG
rnacentral:rRNA from 1 species